rnacentral:snRNA from 1 species
GUUCUUGCUUUGGUAGCACAUAUAAUAAAGUUAGAACAAUACAGAAAACAUUAGCACGACCCCUG